CCCAGCCUGGUGUAAUGGUUAGCACGGCGGUUGACACCUAGGUAAGCCAAAACGGGGAUGAUACGGCCUCUACCUAGGCCCAGAAGGGACCGCAGAUCCGGGUUCGAGCCCUGGGGUUGAGA